rnacentral:rRNA from 1 species
AAGGCAAUGGAGGUCCGAACACACAUCCGUUGAAAAGGGUGGUGAUGAGGUGUGGAUAGGGGAGAAAUUCCAAUCGAGCCCGGAGAUAGCUGGUUCUCCCCGAAAUAGCUUUAGGGCUAGCCUCAAGCGUAGAGAAACGGAGGUAGAGCACUGAAUGUCCUAGGGGGUAUUGCACUUACCGAAGACUAUCAAACUCCGAAUGCCGUUUUCUUUUACUUGGGAGUCAGACUGUGGGUGAUAAGAUUCAUAGUCAAAAGGGCAACAGCCCAGAUCGUCAGCUAAGGUCCCUAAAUGUACGUUAAGUGGUAAAGGAUGUGGGAUUGCACAGACAACCAGGAUGUUGGCUUAGAAGCAGCCACUCAUUUAAAGAGUGCGUAAUAGCUCACUGGUCGAGUGAUCCUGCGCCGAAAAUUUCCGGGGCUAAAACGUACUACCGAAGCUACGGCAUCAUUUAUGAUGGGUAGGGGAGCUUCGUAUGCAGGCUGAAGCAUGACCGUAAGGACAUGUGGACAGUAUACGAGUGAGAAUGUUGGCAUGAGUAGCGAGACGUGGGUGAGAAUCCCACGGGCCGUAAACCCAAGGUUUCCAGGGGAAGGUUCGUCCGCCCUGGGUUAGUCGGGACCUAAGCCGAGGCCGAAAGGCGUAGGUGAUGGACAACAGGUUGAUAUUCCUGUACCGCCAAUAAGCGUUUGAGAGAUGGAGUGACACAGUAGGAUAAGCUAACCGUACUGUUGGUUAUGUACGGCUAAGCAUUGAGGCAGUCUAAAUAGGCAAAUCCGUUUAGACAAUGCUAGGAUGUGAUGGGGAAGCCCUUCGGGGCGAAGUAGCUGAUUUCACACUGUCAAGAAAAGCUUCUAUCGAGUUUAAAGGCGCCCGUACCGUAAACCGACACAGGUGGGUGAGGAGAGUAUCCUAAGGCCAGCGAGAGAACUAUUGUUAAGGAACUCGGCAAAAUGACCCCGUAACUUAGGGAGAAGGGGUGCCUGUCUAUGACAGGCCGCAGAGAAUAGGCCCAAGCGACUGUUUACCAAAAACACAGGUUUCUGCUAAGUCGCAAGACGAUGUAUAGGAGCUGACGCCUGCCCGGUGCUGGAAGGUUAAGGGGAUCUGUUAGAGCAAUCGAAGCAGUGAACUUAAGCCCCAGUAAACGGCGGCCGUAACUAUAACGGUCCUAAGGUAGCGAAAUUCCUUGUCGGGUAAGUUCC